UGGGGGAUAUUGCACAAUGGGCGAAAGCCUGAUGCAGCGACGCCGCGUGGGGGAUGAAGGCUUUCGGGUUGUAAACCUCUUUCGCUAUCGAACAAGGCCCGCUUAGGGUGGGUUGAGGGUAGGUGGAGAAGAAGCGCCGGCUAACUACGUGCCAGCAGCCGCGGUAAUACGUAGGGCGCGAGCGUUGUCCGGAAUUAUUGGGCGUAAAGGGCUUGUAGGCGGCUUGUUGCGCCUGCUGUGAAAACGCGGGGCUUAACUUCGCGCGUGCAGUGGGUACGGGCAGGAUGGAGUGUGGUAGGGGUGACUGGAAUUCCAGGUGUAGCGGUGGAAUGCGCAGAUAUCUGGAGGAACACAGAUGGCGAAGGCAGGUCACUGGGCCAUUACUGACGCUGAGGAGCGAAAGCAUGGGUAGCGAACAGG
rnacentral:rRNA from 1 species